UACGGAGGGUGCAAGCGUUGCUCGGAAUUAUUGGGCGUAAAGGGUAGGUAGGUGGUCUUAUUUGUCUGUGGUGAAAGCCUUGGGCUUAACCCAAGAAGUGCCUCGGAAACGGCAAGACUAGAGUACUGGAGAGGGUCGCAGAAUUCCCGGUGUAGCGGUGAAAUGCGUAGAGAUCGGGAGGAAUACCAGAGGCGAAAGCGGCGGCCUGGACAGUUACUGACACUCAACUGCGAAAGCGUGGGGAUCAAACAGG
rnacentral:rRNA from 1 species